UAAGGCUAGAUCGUGACAGGUAAGCGAAAUCUUAGGAAAGUAGCGAAGCACAUGAUGACGGCUUCUAGGAAAAGCUUCUGGCAAUGCAUAUGCGGCCCGUACCAAAACCGACACAGGUGGGCAGGGAGAGAAUCCCGAGGUGAGCGAGAGAACUGUUGCCAAGGAACUCGGCAAAAUGACUCCGUAAGUUAGCGAGAAGGAGUGCUUAAGCAAUUAAGCCGCAGUGAAGAGGCCCAAGCGACUGUUUAACUAAAACACAGCUCUCUGCGAAGUCGCAAGACGAAGUAUAGGGGGUGACACCUGCCCGGUGCUGGAAGGUUAAGAGGAUCUGUUAAGAGCGAUCUGAAGCAGUGAUCCGAAGCCCCAGUGAACGGCGGCCGUAACAAUAACGGUCCUAAGGUAGCGAAAUUCCUUGUCAGGUAAGUUCUGACCCGCACGAAAGGUGUAACGAUUUGGGCGCUGUCUCGGCAGCAGACUCGGUGAAAUCUUAGUACCUGUGAAAAUGCAGGUUACCCGCAACUAGACGGAAAGACCCCAUGGAGCUUUACUGCAGCCUGAUAUUGAAUUCUGGUCAUACAUGUACAGGAUAGGUGGGAGACAAAGAGACGUGCACGCCAGUGUACGAGGAGUCGACGUUGGGAUACCACUCUUGUGUGACUGGGGUUCUAACCUGGUAUCGAGAACAGGUACGGGGAGAGUGUCAGGUGGGCAGUUUGACUGGGGCGGUCGCCUCCCAAAGAGUAACGGAGGCGCCCAAAGGUACGCUCAGAUUUGAUGGAAACCAAUCGUCGAGUGCAAUUGCAGAAGCGUGCUUGACUGUGAGACAGACAAGUCGAACAGGGACGAAAGUCGGGAAUAGUGAUCCGGCGGUGCCGAAUGGAAGGGCCGUCGCUCAACGGAUAAAAGCUACCCUGGGGAUAACAGGCUGAUCUCGCCCAAGAGUUCACAUCGACGGCGAGGUUUGGCACCUCGAUGUCGGCUCAUCGCAUCCUGGAGCUGGAUUCGGUUCCAAGGGUUGGGCUGUCCGCCCAUUAAAGCGGUACGCGAGCUGGGUUCAGAACGUCGUGAGACAGUUCGGUCCCUAUCUGUUGUGGGCGAAGGAGAUCUGCGGAGAGCUGUCCUCAGUACGAGAGGACCGGGAUGGACCUACCGCUGGUGCACCGGUUGUUCCGCCAGGGGCAUAGCCGGGUAGCUAAGUAGGGAAAGGAUAAGCGCUGAAAGCAUCUAAGCACGAAGCCUACUCCAAGAUGAGAUCUCCCAUUCGCAAGAAGUAAGACCCCUUAAAGACGAUAAGGUAGAUAGGCCAGGGAUGGAAGUGCAGUGAUGUAUGGAGUUGACUGGUACUAAUCGGUCGAGGACUUAAUU
rnacentral:rRNA from 1 species